GCAGGAAGAGUAGUAUGUGACAGCUAUUUGUCUUUCUGCCUCAGAUGCACUGGCACCUAGACAUGUACAACAGGAACCGUGUGGAUACAUCCCCCACACCUGUUUCUUGGCAUGUCAUGUGUAUGCAGCUCUUCGGUUUCCUGGCUUUCAUGAUAUUCAUGUGCUGGGUGGGGGACGUGUACCCUGUCUACCAGCCUGUGGGACCAAAGCAGUAUCCUUACAAUAAUCUGUACCUGGAACGAGGCGGUGAUCCCUCCAAAGAACCAGAGCGGGUGGUUCACUAUGAGAUCUGAGGAGGCUUCGUGGGCUUUUGGGUCCUCUAACUAGGACUCCCUCAUUCCUAGAAAUUUAACCUUAAUGAAAUCCCUAAUAAAACUCAGUGCUGUGUUA
rnacentral:lncRNA from 1 species